rnacentral:rRNA from 1 species
GAGUUUGAUUAUGGCUCAGGAUGAACGCUAGCGGCAGGCUUAAUACAUGCAAGUCGAGGGAGAAUGAGGCUUCGGCCUCAGGGAACCGGCGCACGGGUGCGUAACGCGUACACAACAUGCCUUAUACUGGAGUAUAGCCUCGGGAAACUGGGAGUAAUCCUCCAUAAUAUUAUCGGGUGGCAUCAUCUGAUAAUUAAAGCUCAGGCGGUAUAAGAUUGGUGUGCGUAUGAUUAGCUAGUUGGUAGGGUAACGGCCUACCAAGGCGACGAUCAUUAGCUGGCGUGAGAGCGCGACCAGCCACACUGGAACUGAGACACGGUCCAGACUCCUACGGGAGGCAGCAGUAGGGAAUAUUGGACAAUGGGCGAAAGCCUGAUCCAGCCAUGCCGCGUGAUGGAUGAAGGCCCUCUGGGUUGUAAACAUCUUUUAUCAGGGAAGAAACAUCCUGUUUCUACAGGACUUGACGGUACCUGAUGAAUAAGCACCGGCUAACUCCGUGCCAGCAGCCGCGGUAAUACGGAGGGUGCAAGCGUUAUCCGGAUUUACUGGGUUUAAAGGGUGCGUAGGCGGGAAAAUAAGUCAGUGGUGAA